UAUAUAUAUAUAUAUUUUAAAAGAAGACAACCUAAGGUAUUAAACUUAGGGUAUUUUGACUUUUUUCAUGCAACUAUUUUACCACCAAUCUAUGCCAAAUAAUUUUUAUUUUUUUUAUUUAAGGAUACAUUUACUUAGACCAUUAAGAGUUACUGCCAAAUAACACCCCAACAUGUGUUUAGCAACAUCUCCUGAGUACAGUGAUACCACCCAUGUAUACGUGUGUCAGGUUCUCUGGGGACUAAAAAACAUUAUUUGGAGGGUGUGCAUUCCAUUUUCCAACUUGGAAUUUUCACAGCUGGUCAUUAUGCACCCAUGUCCUAUUUGGGAAAUGUUUGAAGCCGGCCAAUGUAAUUUACCCCCAUCAAACCAUAUAUUUUUGAAAAGUAGACAACCCAGGGUAUUCAAAACGGCGUGUGUCCAGUCUUCUUAGUAGCCAUUUAGUCACAAACACUGGCCAAAAUUAGCAUUUAUACUUGUUUGUGUGUUUAAAAAUGCAAAAUAAAUAAUUAUAAACGUUAACUUUGGCCAGUGUUUGUGACUAAGUGGCUUCUAAAAAAGACUGAACAUACCC